AUUGAACGCUGGCGGAAUGCUUUACACAUGCAAGUCGAGCGGCAGCGCGGCCUUCGGGCUGGCGGCGAGCGGCGAACGGGUGAGUAAUGCAUCGGAACAUGCCCAGUCGUGGGGGAUAACACUUCGAAAGAAGUGCUAAUACCGCAUACGUCCUGAGGGGGAAAGCGGGGGAUCGCAAGACCUCGCGCGAUUGGAGUGGCCGAUGUCAGGUUAGCUAGUUGGUGGGGUAAAGGCCUACCAAGGCGACGAUCUGUAGCUGGUCUGAGAGGAUGAUCAGCCACACUGGGACUGAGACACGGCCCAGACUCCUACGGGAGGCAGCAGUGGGGAAUUUUGGACAAUGGGGGCAACCCUGAUCCAGCCAUUCCGCGUGAGUGAAGAAGGCCUUCGGGUUGUAAAGCUCUUUCGGCAGGAACGAAACGGUGGGCUCUAACAUAGUCCGCUAAUGACGGUACCUGAAGAAGAAGCACCGGCUAACUACGUG
rnacentral:rRNA from 1 species